rnacentral:tRNA from 1 species
GCUUCGGUGGUGGAAUUGGUAGACACGCCACCUUGAGGGGGUGGUGCUUGCAAAGGUGUAAGAGUUCGAAUCUCUUCCGGAGCA